rnacentral:rRNA from 1 species
GAUGAACGCUGGCGGCGUGCCUAAUACAUGCAAGUCGAGCGAACGGACGAGAAGCUUGCUUCUCUGAUGUUAGCGGCGGACGGGUGAGUAACACGUGGAUAACCUACCUAUAAGACUGGGAUAACUUCGGGAAACCGGAGCUAAUACCGGAUAAUAUUUUGAACCGCAUGGUUCAAAAGUGAAAGACGGUCUUGCUGUCACUUAUAGAUGGAUCCGCGCUGCAUUAGCUAGUUGGUAAGGUAACGGCUUACCAAGGCAACGAUGCAUAGCCGACCUGAGAGGGUGAUAGGCCACACUGGAACUGAGACACGGUCCAGACUCCUACGGGAGGCAGCAGUAGGGAAUCUUCCGCAAUGGGCGAAAGCCUGACGGAGCAACGCCGCGUGAGUGAUGAAGGUCUUCGGAUCGGAAAACUCUGUUAUGAGGGAAGAACAUAUGUGUAAGUAACUGUGCACAGCUUGACGGUACCUAAUCAGAAAGCCACGGCUAACUACGUG